rnacentral:rRNA from 1 species
CCUACGGGAGGCAGCAGUAAGGAAUAUUGCACAAUGGGCGCAAGCCUGAUGCGGCAACGCCGCGUGCCCGAGGACGGCCUUCGGGUUGUAAAGGGCUUUUCUGGCUGACGAGGAAGGAUGGUAGGCCAGGAAUAAGCGUCGGCUAGCUACGUGCCAGCAGCCGCGGUAAU